GGAGGAGGAGGAGGAGGAAGAGGAGGAGGAGGGGGAAGAGGAGGAGGAAGAGGAGGAAGACGUAAACAGAUGAGGUGACGGAAUGAAACAGAUUCAGACUCUUCGUUCUGCUGUGAUAAACUGUAAACUGUUUGAAGAGUGGAGAAGAGACAGGUAACAGACAGACAGGUAACAGACAGACAGACAGGUAACAGACAGACAGACAGGGUAACAAACAGACAGGGUAACAGACAGACAGACAGGGUAACAGACAGACAGACAGGGUCUCUAUGUGAAGAUGAGCCCGGCCUCGUUGUAAACCUGGAACACUUUCUCAAUGGCGUUGACGUACGCCGCCGUCCUCAG